GCAAGAACUUCAGUGGCUGUGCCUGUGGCCUUUGACGCUCAUCCUGACUCCUGACUGAUGAAUUAUUUGGUCGACUGAGGCAGAAUCACCUUUACUGGAGCAUAAUCUGUUGGAGGCAGCAUCUCCUGAAGUCUCCAUGAGUUGCUGGAAUGAAGAAAUGUGUCAUAUGUGAACCAAAACACAUGUAAAAAUUGUUGACAAUAGCACCAUUUGUAAAAGACUAAAACUGGAAACCACCAAAUGAUCAGCAACAGAGAAUAAAAAAUUAUGGCUUAUUUCUACAAUGGAUUGCUAUGCUGCAGUAAGAAUGAAUGAACAGCAGCUACACACAACCGGUAUGGAUGAAUCUCAUGAACACAAUGUGAAGGGAAAGAAGGCAGAAACAUACUUAUCACACCCUCCAUUUAUAUAAAACUCAGAGACAAAACAAAUUUAUGGUGUUAGGAGUCAGGUUCCUUUGGGGAAGAGAGAGGGAGUAGUACCUGAAUGGAGGGGGCAUGGAGGGGGCUUCGGGCAUGCUGGUAAGAUUUUUGUUUUGUUUUUAAUCUGAGUGAUAUAGGUGGUAGUUACUUUUUGAUGUUACAUCGAGCUGUACACUUAUGAUCUGUUCA
rnacentral:lncRNA from 1 species